rnacentral:lncRNA from 1 species
UAAAGAAAAGUGUGAGGAUCCACCAUCUAUCAUGACUUUUCUACUUAUUUUUUUCAUUUCUUUCCUCUUCUUCCUCACUUCACUAUUAGUAUUCAUUAGGUUCCUUAAUCCAUUUUCAAUCUCAUGAGCACUUACAACAUAAUCACUAUCCUUAUUAUAAUCUAUUUUAAUUUCUACUGCCAAUCCCAAAUCUUGCACCAUUUGAAAUGCGUUGAUUUGUUGUUCUGCAUACAUUGACCAAGUGGCUACAGGAACACCAUACCAUAUGCUUUCUAGCAAAGAAUUCCAUCCACAAUGAGAUACAAAUCCUCCGACAGCUGAGUGGGCUAAAACUGCUAUCUGUGGAGCCCAUCCAAUCACCUUUCCAAUUCUAGCCGCCCGAUGUAAAAAUCCUUCUGGUAGAACUUCCUCAAUAUUUUCAUAGCCGCUUGAAAAUUCCAUUUUACCCUUUUGGGGAGGUUGGCGAAGGGACCACAAGAAGCGAUGCCCGCUGUGCUCUAACCCAUAUGCUAUCUCCUUGAUCUGAUCUGCACCAAAGCUUCCCCUGCUCCCGAAGCACAGGAAAAUCACAGACGAUGGAGGCUGAUCGUCAAGCCAACUCAUGGUGGCACUGGCAUCUUGUUGACCCCCACCAGAUCCCAUUCGGGUGUUGAGUAUGGGUCCAACGGGAUACACCUCGGGUACUGUACUGCCAGAAAGUGAUUGAAUAGCAUGUGAUUCAAGCUCAAUAAACGUAUUUACCAGAAUACCCUUGACUUCUCUGAAUCUCCUCGUGUGAUACAGAAGCAUCUCAGCCCCUCCGUUUUCCUUCUCAAACAUCCAAGCAGGGAAGACCUUACCCGGAACUGAGUUAACAAAAGUCAGAACACCCAACUCAGCAUCCGAGUCCUUGAACUCAUUAAUAUCCAAGCCCUCAUAAUCAUGGAGGAACUGAACAUGUAACAGGAAGCCAAGAAAAGCAGCGCCGGAAGGGAAGAACAGAUAGGAAGGCACCCCAAACUCAUCGGCCACGUCAAUCAUGUGGGUGCAAAACAUAUCAAUAACGAACCCAGAGAGCCGAACCGAGUUGGAGCGAGUGAGCUCGUGGACGGCGUCUCGGACGAGUGGUAUGUGAACUUUGAGGAAUUCAGAGAAGAAGUGACCAGACGGGGUCGUUUCGGAGCUGACCUCUACAGGAGGAAGUGUGACGAAACGUAUGGAAUCAGAGUCCGUGUCCAUACCAUCAGUGGACCCAAACGGAAACUUCAUGAUGAAAAUCGUGAUUGAGAAUCGGGGCUCUCGCUUAGUAAUCAGCUUUGCAAUCUCCAGUGCAGACGCAAGGUGGCCGAUGAUAGGAAAUGGUAUGAAGACCAGCUCAGUUUGCUCCAUCACUAACUAGCAGUUACUGCAAAGAGAGAAAAAAGGGAUGUUUCGAGGGCUUUGCGGUGGGGUCACACUCUUAUACUAGUGGCUGGAUAGUCAGGUCUUAGCUGGUUCAAUGUAUUUUCUUUAUUGUUUUAGAAUGAUUUGUGGUUGGCGUUGGUUGAAGAUUGAGGCAAAAUGGGUGGUUCCAAUAUGCUACACCUGUCACAUAAAGUUCUUCGAGAUAUUUGGGCCAAAAUUUGUAAAGCCAACCUCAAUUGGUUUAAAGUUCCGUAAAUAAAAAUUUCAAAGGAAUAAAAAUAUCUUAAUAUUUAAAAAAAAAAAUUGCUUUAGCAUAUAUGAAUGAUAUUUUUAAUAAAAAAAUAUUAUUAUUUUCGAUAUUUAAAAAAAAUAAAGAGAAUGAUUUGAAUUAGAGAUUUUUUUAAUCAUUUUAAUCAAAUAUCUCAAUUUUCCUUUUUGUUUUUAUAAUGGUUUUUCAUUAGACAAACAAAAUAAGUAAGAAAUAUUAUCUUGAUAUUAGAAACAUAUUACGGGGCAAUACUCACAAUUUUCUAUACAUAAAUAGGAUAUAUUAAAUUAAUCAAUUUUAAAUCUAUUCAAAUUGAUUCCAUUAUCGUAUAAGUUGAUUGUUGGGAUUUAAUUAUUACUUUUGAUCAACGAGAAAUUAUACAAGUCAUAAUUCCAAAGAUAUUCAAUCACAUAAGAAUAUAAAAAAAUAUUAAAAAAAAAACUCUUACAAAAAUUGUCUCCGCCAAUUUAGAUACAAAAACUUAAGCACAAUAUUAAAAAUCCACUAAAUAUAAAAGAAUGUACACAUUUUACCUAACACAAAUACUUCUUUUUAUAAAUGUUAUGUCAAUCAACACUUGUGCAUAUUCAUCAUAUCUACAAUGCAAUAUUUUCCCAUGCUCCUUAGUGGAUCAGCUCAAACCCAUAUUAUGGCUUUGGUGCUCAAAUUUCGAUCUUUGCUUUUCAUCCUAAUUGAAAGGACUCUCAAGAUUUACUUUUCAGUCUUGAUUUUGACUUUUUGAAGUAUAGGCACUAGGAAAAAUAACGGUUGUCUUGUGGAUUUUCUUAGGGUUUUUUUAUUUAUUUUUGUUCAAAUUGAUAAAUGAUAGUUUUUUCAUUCAUCUUUUCAUUCGUUCAUGUACAGAGUAUAUAUAGAGGGAAUCACCAUUCUAAGAAUGGGAAAGAAUGAUACAAGGAAAGAAUGACAUAAGGAAAUAACAAUUAAUAUCCUAAUAUCUCUUAAUAUUCAUAAUAUCUCAACUUUCCUAAUAUCUAAACAUUCCUAAUAUCUCAACACUAAAUGAUAUAAGAAAAUAAUGAUAUAAGGAAAGCAUUCCUAAUAUCUCAACACUCCCCCUCAAGUUGGUGCAUAGAUGUCACACAUGCCCAACUUGUCUAAAAAUUUUGAGAACACUUGACUUGAGACAGCUUUGGUAAGGAUAUCGGCCAAUUGAUCUUCUGAUCGAAUCUUAGGCAAUUCCACAAUCUUAUCAUCCAACUUUUCCUUAAUGAAGAAUCUAUCCACCUCGACAUGCUUUGUAUGAUCAUGUUGUACUGGAUUAUGAGCAAUGUCACACGUGGCUUUAUUGUCACAAAACAAUCGGAUUGGUUGCCUAGAUAGGUAACCUAAAUCCUGUAAGAGGAGUCUUAGCCAUAAUGCCUCACAAAGUCCUAGAGUCAUACCUCUAAAUUCCGCUUCUGCACUUGAACGAGCGAUGACAUUUUGCUUCUUACUUUUCCAUGUUACAAGAUUACCACCUACAAAGGUAAAGUAACCAGAUGUAGAUCGCCUAUCAUCCACUGCACCGGCCCAAUCAACAUCAGUAUAUACUUCUAUACUUUGAUGAUCAACAUUUUUAGCGAACAAAAUUCCCUUCCUAGGAGCAUUCUUCAAAUACCUCAAAAUACGCAUGACUGCAUUCAUAUGUUGCUCUCCAGGAUUAUGCAUGUAUUGACUCACUACACUCAAUGCAUAAGCAAGAUCUGGUCUUGUAUGAGCUAAGUACAUUAAUCUCCCCACAAGUCUCAGGUAUCUUCCCUUAUCAGUUGAUACUUGAUUAGGCUCAACAUACAAUUUCAGACCUUCUUCUAUUGGUGUAUUAACAGGUUGACAUCCCGACAUUCCAGUCUCCUGUAAAAGAUUUAAGGCAUACUUUCUUUGAGACAGAAAAAUUCCUUCACUUGAUCGAGAAACUUCAAUCCCAAGAAAGUAUUUUAGAGGACCUAGAUCUUUUAUUUCGAAUUCUCUAGAUAGAUAAUUUUGCAGAGCUUUUCUUUCUUCAGGAUCAUUUCCUGUAACUACCAUGUCAUCCACAUAUACGAUGAGUGUCGUAAUCUUACCAUGUUGCUUUUUCAGGAAUAAAGUGUGAUCUGAAUUACUUUGAUGAUAGCCAAAAGCUCUCAUUGACUUUGUGAACCUUCCAAACCAUGCUCUCGGGGAUUGCUUCAACCCAUACAAUGACUUCUUCAAUUUGCACACCUUCUGACAUUGCUUUUCUGACACCAUGCAUCCUGGUGGAAGAUCCAUAUAUACUUCUUCAGAUAACUCGCCAUGUAGAAAGGCAUUUUUCACAUCAAAUUGUUGUAAUGGCCAAUUUAGGUUUGCAGCUAAAGACAGUAAUACUCGAACUGUGUUAAUCUUAGGUACAGGUGCAAAUGCCUCUGUAUAGUCAAUACCAUCUGCCUUGUACUUUACAGUAUAGAUCCAACGACACCCAACUGGCUUCUUUCGUGGUGGACAUUCUACGAGUUCCCAUGUUUCAUUCUUCUGCAAUGAUUUCAUCUCUUCAUUCAUGGCUGCUUUCCACCUUGGAUCAGCUAAGGCUUCCUGCACACUGUUAGGAAUAGCUACAGUAGAUAAUUGAUUUACAAAUGACUUGUUUGAUUCAGACAAACGAUGGUUAGACACAUAGUUGCUCAUGGGAUACUUGACUUUAGUAGACAAUUCAGGUUCAUAUGUGGGUUUAGGAAUACCUCUAUUAUGACGGUGUGGUAUCCGUUUCAUGAAUGGAUCAGGUUUCAAAUUAAGAACACCCUCAACAGACGACGAUUGGUUUGGUAUUUCAGUGAAGACAUCUUCGGACCCAAAUUGUUGACCACUCACAUCUAACUCACCCACUUCCUAGUUCACUAGUUCAGAUUGUCUAGAUUCAUCUUCCUCAGAUAUCUGAUAAUCAUAAUCGAGAGUCUGAAUUUCCUUAUGGUACUCCCCCUGAAGUUCAGACUCAGAUGAAAAAUACAUCGAAUCUUCAUGAAACACCACAUCCAUUGUAAUAUACAUUUGUCGAGUUGGAGGAUGGUAACAUCGAUAUCCCUUUUUGUGCAAUGCAUAUCCAACAAACACACAUUGUAAUGCAUGAGAAGUUAGCUUGGUGCGUUGGUGCUUGUGUAGAUGCACAAAUGCCACACAACCAAAAACACGAGGAGGUAGAUUUGGGACGGUUGGGGCAACUACGACAUUAAUAAGAGCUUGGAGUGGUGUUUGAAAGUUAAUUGAGCUAGAAGGUACCCGAUUGAUCAAGUAUGCGGCAGAUGUGAUUGCUUCUCCCCAAUAAGAUAUCGGUGUUUUUGCUGCUAUCAAGGAAGCACGAACAACCUCUAACAAGUGCCGAUUUUUUCGUUCAGCGACUCCAUUUUGCUGGGGUGUAUUGGAACAAGUAGUUUGAUGAAUGAUGCCAUGUCCUUCCAAAUACUUUUGAAGAUCAUAACUUUGAUAUUCUCCACCAUUAUCACUACGCAGAACCCGAACCUUUGCAUUGUAUUGAGUUUCAAUCACUUUAUGAAAAUUUUGAAACAACAAGUUCACUUCAUCUUUGGUCUUCAUCAAGCAUAACCAUGUCAUUCUGGUACAAUCAUCAAUAAAAGUAACAAACCAACGUGAGCCACUCAAAGUUGGGACUUUGGAUGGGCCCCAAACAUCAGAAUGUAUAACCAUAAAAGGAAACAGACUUUUAUUUAAAAUUAACGGAAACGAAGCACGAUGGCUUUUAGCCAAUUCACAAAUAUCACAACGGAAACCAGAAAUAUCUCUCUUUGCAAACAAACUAGGAAACAAUUUUUUUAAAUAACCAAAGGAAGCAUGUCCCAAACGUCGAUGCCACAACCAAAUUUCAGAUUUUUUCUUCUCUCCCUCAGAUUCAUCUGCCAUCAAGGCUUGUUGCAACUUAUUUGAAUCCUUUGACUGCAAGUCCAAGUAAUAGAGUUUUCCCCGCUUAAUACCACAACCAAUCGCCUGUCUUGUUUGGAUGUCCUUAAUCACACAAAAUUCAGGCCAAAAAAUGACAAUACAAGAUAAGGCUGCAGUGAUUUGAGAAACUGACAAAAGAUUGUAAUCUAAAGAUGGAACAACUAAAAUAGAAUCCAAAUUCAAAGUAUCAGUAAGAGUUAAGGAUCCUUCCCCAAUGACUGGGGUUGUGUUACCAUUGGCUGUGGGAACAAUUUUUUUGUGAGGAAGGUCUAAGGGUUGAAACCUGUCUAGAUUCAAAAGUCAUAUGAUCUGUAGCACCAGAAUCAAUUAUCUAUGCACUAUUAAUAAUAGGUGUAAAAGUAUUUAAAAACUUACCACCAUGAUCUGUAGCGGCUACCAAUGCAGAGGCUUUCUCAGCAACAUUAGCCUCUGUUUUUAUUUCGGCAAUAGUUGCGGUCGAGGUUUUCUUGGAAUCCUUCUUCCGUUGAUCAUGAUUAUUAUCAUUAAUAACAAAGCGUUGAUAACCUAAACAUGAUUUAAAGGUCCAUGGUUCAAACCCUCGGUUCCUUAUUUUUUUCCUGAUCAUACCAAGAGUCGUUGCUUUGAAAUUGUGGGAUAUCCAGACUGGUGGGAUCAGUCUUAUUGCAGUGAGUGCAUUUGAAGGUUGACUUAUCAAUAUUAGGGCUUGUCUUAGGAUGGUUGAUCGCUGUCGGACUACCAUAGCGACAAAAUAUCCAGGAUUUCAGUUUCAUGGCUCUGAUACCAUGUUCAAAUUAAUAAAUGAUAGUUUUUUUCAUUCAUCUUUUCAUUCGUUCAUGUACAGAGUAUAUAUAGAGGGUAUCGUCAUUCUAAGAAUGGGAAAGAAUGAUACAAGGAAAGAAUGACAUAAGGAAAUAACAAUUAAUAUCCUAAUAUCUCAACUUUCCUAAUAUCUCAAUAUUCCUAAUAUCUCAAUAUUCAUAAUAUCUCAACUUUCCUAAUAUCUAAACAUUCCUAAUAUCUCAACACUAAAUGAUAUAAGGAAAUAAUGAUAUAAGGAAAGCAUUCCUAAUAUCUCAACAAUUUUAUACCCCAAAUUGAAAUUUUCAAAUCCUUUUCAUACCUAAACCUUGUUUUUUUUUUAGUUUUAUCUUAUUUUAAAACUUAAUCUAGAAAAAAAAAGAAUUUUAAAUCAUCAAUUUUCCCAAAAAGAAAAAAAAAAUCUAGACAAAAACACCUAAAAACUUAAGUUACCACUAAAUUAUUAAUUUUAUAACACCACUGUACCAUUUUUAAUUUCGAACUCAAAACAUAAUUAUAUUUUGAGCUUCAAAUUUUGUGUCUUUAACUUGAAUAUGUUAGUAUAAUACUCAUUGUAGGGAAAGUAGUCUUGAUUUAAUAAUCUUAGGAGUAAAAUUGUCACUCCAUUGUAAUACACUAACAAAGUUAAUACCAUAUAAAAAUAAAUUUAGAAACAUAUUUUAUAUAAAAAAAAAUAGUUCAAAUUUUGGAAAAGUCCAUAACACUAAAUUUAUAUGAUUAAAAUUCAAAUUUGGACCAUUUAAAUUGUCCAAUAAAAUUUUUGUAUUAAAUGAAAGGACAAAUAUAUGAAACUAGAUUACAAACAAAGGAGACCAAGGUAUUAAAUAAUGGGACCAAAGUAUAAAGCAAUAACAUUAAUAAGGUACAAUGCAAUGGGACCACAUUAGAGAUACAGAGUAAUGAUAUCAAAUUCUAGGUUGAAUAUUGACACAAAAGGUAGGUGUGUGGACCCUGUAUUUUUGCUCAAUGCUUUCCCACUCGAUGACGAAACUCAUUUAUUUAUUUAUUUGGUAAAAAUUUUAUUUUUUAAAAAAAGACCUGAAGUCACCACUUAUUUCUGUUUUAUUUUUAAAAGGAAAAACAAAAUAAGAAAGAAAAACCCUAAGUGUGACUCCUGAAGAAAAAACAGGUCAGUGAAAAACCGAGUUGGGUUCCGGGGGUCAGGUUACCUAUUAGGAAGGUACAGUGGUGAACCGUAACACCCCUCUAAGCCCUAUAAUAAGGUCUUUACUAAAUAAGGUGAAACAAGGAAAUCAAUGGAUACUAAUGAAAUGAUCAAAUAAUAAAACAAAUCGAGGAUGAGAAUAAGCAAAGUGAGAGUGAGAGCAUACCUUGACAACAAAUAAUAGUGCGCUAUCAUGAAAACAAGGUUAGCUCAAGUAUAAAAUUAUCACAUACAUAUCAAAAAGCAAGACAAAGAUCAAACGAUAUUCAUUAAGCAUAGCAAUUGACAAUCGGAAGAUAUCAUAUGUAGGGCCCCCACCAAAGCCCAAUUGAUUUUACAUGAAUUAAUCCCACAAAUUCCAGUGUUUCAUAAUUAUGAUAAUUAUCUUCAUGCUUAUUAAAAAUCAAGGAAAGCAUGAAAAUCAUUUUAAAAUCAAGGAAAAUUUGUGAAAGUGUUUACCUGAAAAUGUAGCAAGUUUAUUUAAAACGAGAUUUUUAGUGACUUAAAAUCCUAAUGAAUGAUGAAAAGUGGUAGAAUUAAAAAUAUAUAUUUGAAAAGUGGAGUGAAAUUAAAAUUAUUUAAAAAUUUGAAAUUUGAAAAUUGAAGUCUCAAAAAUUAUUUGAAAAUUGGAGUUUUGAAAAUUAAAUUUAAGAAUUGGAAUUUUGGAAAUUAGAUUUAAAAACCUAAGCUUUGAAUAUUAAUAUUUGAAAACAUUAAUUGGGAAUUGAGAAUUUUUGGAAAAUUUAUUUGAAGAUGACAUUUUAAAAAUUAAAUUUGGAAUCUAAGAAUUUUUGGAAAAUUUAUUUGAAGAUGACAUUUUAAAAAUUAAAUUUGAAAUUUUGGAAAUUUUGAGAAUUGGAGUUUUGAAAAUUAAAUUUAGGAAAUGGAAUUUUGGAAAUUAAAUUUAAGAAUUGGAAUUUUGAAAAUUAAAUUUGAAAGAAAUUGGAAUUUUGAAAAUUAUUUAAGAAUUGGAAUUUUGGAAAUUAGAUUUAAAAACCUAAGCUUUGAAUAUUAAUAUUUGAAAACGUGAAUUGGGAAUUGAGAAAGAGAUGAGGGCAUUUAAAGAAAAAAAAGAAAAUUGGCCCAUCAAAUGCUAAUGGUGUAUAUAGAGGCUUCAUAUAUUUUAUAAUAAGUUGUGUAUAAUCAAAUUGUACUUUGUUGACUUUAUUUUUUUCUUUUGCUUCAUUUGAUCCAACCUUGUCUCUUAUUAUACUAAUGUUGUGGAUACCACGAAUUUGUGUAAGCUGAAUGAUGCAUUGGUCCAAUGCUCGUAACCCCACUUUGCACAAUAGCAUUAUUUGGACUUAGAUUGGCAAAGUCUUCAAGCAUUCUUAGUGCAGUCAAAGGAUUAAUAAUAAUAGUGGCUGCAUAUUCCACUCCUCCAAGGGAACUUCCCUCACCUGCUCACACAACGCUUCACCUCCGCCUCCGGUAAAGGCUUACAGUCCAUUAGUUAUCAGUUUGUUUUUCAUAAGCAAGUGAAAAAAAAGCAAAAGACAAAGAAAAAUGGGUCUUCCCGAAUCCGAAUCUGCUUACCAUUUUGAAUUAAAAUAGGAAAAGCAUAAAAAAAAAAAAAAAUCAAUUGCCACUUUUGGGUUGUUUCAAUGUGAAACUGAAAUUGAAUAAUGGAGGUGAAAGUCAAAAACCGAGAGGCAGCUAUUUGGGCUAUGAAAAUGAUUUAUAUAUUGGAGUAGUUUGAGGGUUGGCCAUUUAAACCAUGCACUAUGAACUUUUGCACUUUUCUCUUUGGCAGCUUGAGCCAACCAACUUACAGAACGACAAAAAAAUGAAACAAUGAUUCCAUGAGUUGUGUGUGUGCAGGUGGGUAAGAGUUGAAGGCAAAGCAUACGCUCUUGCAGGCCACCACCCGCCUGUUGUCUUGAGAUCUCACUUGGAAACCGACCAGACACAUGGUGUUGAGGAGGUUGAGGUUGGAAAGAUGAGCUGUGGGGAUAAAUUCAGCUGGUGAUACACACAACACUAUGCACUUGGAACACCCACCGAAAACAGAGAAGAAUAACAAGAAAAGAGAGCAUCCAAAAAGGAAAAACAGAACUGCACCAGUGUUUACCUGAGAACUCCUCCAAAAAAAUCCAGAUAUCCUCCCUAGUUGCUGUCCGUUUUCUUAUCCUAUGCUUAGCUCAUUCCCCUCUUGCUUCCCCAAAAAAAUCCUUAGACCCUCACUCCCCCCAGCUACCCCAAAAACCCACUCUCCAGAUUUUUUCUUCCCUAUCCCUCGGGAACUGAAAAUCUCCUCUACUCUUCCUUUGUUUUUCUCCCCAGAUAUCACCUUCCCUCUCACCCGUUCCAUUGCUCCCUAUCCACUUAGCUAGUCUCUACCCCAACCACCACCAUGGUGAGUUGGUGGUGUCCUUGGCCAUGCGUCCCAUGCAUGUGGCUCCUUCGAAAACCGUCCCCCCACUCAAAAAACCAGUUGCCAGCUCUCUCAUGCGUGGUGAAAAUAUGCUCCAAAAAUAACUAAAAAGACCUAGACCAAAAUGAGGGUCUACAAGGUAGUUCUACAUUUAUCUCAUUUUAACUUAAAACAAAGAAUAAAAUAUGAUUUAUAUUAUGAAAGUUUAGAACUUACUUAUGAAAUACUUAGAGGCAAAUAGGUAGCUCUUUUUUUUAGCUCAAAUUUUUAUUUUUAAAUUUUUCUUUAAGUAUUAUAGAUAAAAUAAAAAAAUUCAAUGGCACAAAGAGAACCAUUUACAUGGAAAACCACCCAUAAAGUCUCCCAAAAACUUUAAACAUGUGAAAACCAUGAGGUCAGAGACCAUAGUGAUAUAAUCCACUAAACAAGAAAAACAGGUAUUUAUUUUUACUUUAUGGUUACUACUCCCUCAGACUUACACCUCACAACUACAUUAAAUGUCAUGUCCAUGACAUAGCACCAUCGUGCUCCUCAAUGGACUCCUCAACACCUAGCAGAUGUGAUUCUCUCUCACAACCCUAAAAAAAAAUCACAAUCAAUCUGAAAGUUUCUUAUUAAGUGCACAUAAAACAACUUAAACCUUAUGCGUAUAAGUUCUUUGGAGAACUCUCCCAGUAGGUAUAUAUUAGAGAAAAUAUAGUGGACUUAGAAUUAAUUUAUAAAUCAUAUUUUAUCCAAAAUUAAUUUAGGAACUUAAGAAUCUUAGAAAGAUUUGGAAAGAUGUUUUUUUAAAAAAAACAAAAAAAAUAAAAAAACAAUUUAGGAAAUUUAAGAAUCUUAAAAAGAUUUUAUUUUUUUCAAUUAAAAAUAUUUUCUUUUUUAAAUUCUCAAUUUAAAAUUCUUUCAAAAUUAAUUUUAUUCUCAAUUUCCAUGCAUAUAAGUCCACUCUAUGUCUUUUAUAUCAUUAUUUUCAAUUAACUCAAUCAUACAUACCUAUUUAAUUCUAGGUUGAUUUUGUUAGCAACCUUCAAUCUUCAAAAUAUAUGUAAACCACAAGAAAGUACAUAUAGUCCUAAAACCAAAAUGGAUGGAAUAAAAUUAUCAACUUAAUCUAAAUAAUCUAAUCCACUAACAAUCUCCCAUUCUCUAGCAAUUUUUUGACAAACUAAUGAUUACAUAAAUCUCCUAAUAUUCUCAAACAAAGUUUACAAAUUGCUGAUCAAUGUCACUCAUCUCAACCAAACAUCCUAUAAAUUGAUUUUCAAUAUCUACAACUCAUCUAAAAAAUUCUUGAAAUCUAAAACAUGUAAUUUGCAUAUUCUUAAUCAAUAAAACAUGUGAAAAGUAGUGUGUGGGAAAAAAACCAAUAAAAUAAUAUAAUAUGAUCACAAUCCAUCUUGCUAGGAAAAAUAGUUACAUCUAAUUCAACUAGAAAAAAAAAAUUGGAUAUCUUCAUAAAUAAAUAUUAAUACAAAUUAUCAAUUAGAUAUCAAAAUAAUCAUAUGAAUUUCUCCCUCUUUUUGUUCUAAAAUUACUAAAAUAUUCAUUUCUAAUCGUUUAAGUUUCACUUAAGGCUAAUAGAGUGCCAAAGAUGCAAUUCCUGAGGUAGAGGAGGUGAAAUUCCAUAGUAGUGUGUGAUUUCAAAAUUGAGCAAAAUUUCAAAAUAAAUUUCAAAAUCAAGUUGAAUUUAUGAAACCACCAUUUCAACUUCAAAAUGGUCCUUCUAUUCUACCUAGUUGCCUUCUAAUGGCCCUAACCUAUUUGUUUUAGUUUUGAUUUGUGCACCAUUUGAAAUGUUGAACUCUUAACCUCUUAAGCUUCAAAACCAUGUAUAGCUUGCCCCAAAAAGAUCUUGGAAAGUGCUUUAAAAAUCAUGUCAAAUUCAAGGUAUGUCAUAUUGUUAUUGUAAUGUUUAAGUCUGAAAUUCCAUAUUAAGCAUGAUUGUAAUUAUUUCAAACCUUCUUCCUCAUGAUUGUUUGCCCUCUACCUCUAUCCAAAACAUUAGUUUUUCAUCUUUAAUGCUCAUAAAUUCCUUGUUUUUCCUUUGCCUUCUCAUGCCUUAUAAGUGUUGAAUCUCUCUUUAAGCAUAAUCGAUCUUAUACUCUACUUUGGAUGAAAGUGGCUUUAGCAACUUGUAUUUUUUUUUCUCUUUCAAACCUGAAAUUAAACUCAAAAUAUAUGUUCGAUCCAUAAUUAAGGUUUUAACAUCAAUUUGAGUUAAGUUGGAUGAUGUGAGUUUUUCAUAUUGCAUAAAUCAUAUCAUAUAUGUGUUAUUAGAUCACAUAUUUUGGCUCCAAUAAACCCCCUUAAUAGUUUAAGGCUUGUGGCUUUAUCCAUUCUGUCUUCCAAAACAAAGAACCCUAUACUCCAUCUUUAUGGAGAGGACUUCACCAUUAUUACUUGUCAAAGUCCAAGUGAGAGUUAUCAAGUAGAAGAUUGCAAGGUAUUUGAGACCUACAUCAUCAUUUUCUUCAUUUGGAUUUUGGUUUAGGAACAUCUAGAUCAAAGGUAUGUUUUUUAAGCCCUAAAUCUAUAGUUUUUGAAUUAUUAUCAUUUUUGUUGUGUAGAUCUAGUGAGCCUAGAUAACUAAAGAGCAUGCACCUAUGAUUUAGGGUUAUCCAAAUACGUUUAGUGCUUAAUGCCACCCCACCCUUUUAGUUCAUUAGUUUAAAGUCAAGAAACAAGAGUGAGUGUUGGGAUAAAGUUUGAAAUGCACAUACAUAUAGUUUGAGUCCAAUAGAUUCUCAUGUUCACAUAUAAUUGUUAUAAUCAAAAUGACACAUUUAGAAGAUAUUUCCCUAAGUUGUACCAUGAAAAGGUGGACAAAAUAUUAAAAAAAAAAAAUCUAAGAUGUAAUCAAAUCUUGCUAACCAAAGUGAAAGUGAUGAUGCUUCACAAUCCAUAUGCUUUGGUGCUUUGAGGUCUCUAAGAAAAAAAGAUAGUUUAUUCUGGUUCACAAAAACAUCAAGUGUUCAUGGAUACCAAACAUCAAAUAUAUUGAAAUUAUGUAGAAUUAAUGAGCUUUUCAAUAUUACAUCUUAAAGGGAAGAUCAUAUAUCCUCAAAAAUGGGCAUAAACACAAACACUCAUUCUAUGAACCUAGAGAAUUACCUUUUUUGGGAUCUAAAUAAUGUGAAGAAUAAAGGGAACCUAGGUGGCUUAAAGGCCAAACUACAUAAACCAAAAUAUGUGGUAAAUGUAAGAGUGCAUGUCACACAAUUUGAAAAUGGCCAAAGAUGUAAUCAAAUACAAAAUUUGAAUAGCAAUAUCACCUUACAAGAUGAGUCCCUCAAUUUACUUAUACAAGUUGACACAUCAAAUGAGGAGGAUCAUGCUCAUAUUCUAGAACAUAGUAAGACUCGAGUAAUAACCUUUAUUUUAUUUAUUUAUUUAUAUAUACUUAUUUCACUAUUAUUUAUAAUGAUUUGAAGUAUUUAUGUAACUCUCAAAUUGUAUCUACAAGAUCACAUAUAUUUUUUUCAUGAAAAUAUGAAACUAGAUCAACAUAUCGACCAUUGAUUAGUUUACGUGUUCUGUUUGACUAAUCAAUUACAAUUGUUUAUAUAGAUUAUUGUGAAGUUAAACAUAUAACUUAUAACUCAUAAGAUAUAAUUAGCAACUUAUGUCCUAUAUGUAGGAUGUGUAUCCACUUCACAUUGAUACCACUAUUGCUACAAUGGAUUCACAAGCAUUUUCUUCCAUAAAUAAGUCGUCCCCAAUUAUUUUACUCCUAUUUAGUAAAGUAUGAUAUUAUUGUAAUACAUGGAUUUAUUAAUAGUAUAUAUUAUCCAAAAUGAAUUUUUUUUUUUCAAGUCAAAGCGGAUUAGGCCAUUGUAUUAUGCAAACAAAUAAGAGCAUAAAAAUAGUGUUUUAAAAAGCGCAUUUCAGUACUCCCUAUGGCAAAAUGACAUAAAUGGAGUGGAAUUCAACUCUUAAGGGUGGAAUUUACCUAUGAAUAAAGUUAAAACAUUAUGUCAUAGCAACCUAAGAUUAAAAAGUCUAAAGGAAGUGUUAAAAUAUAGCAGGUAUUUAUAACACCUACUAUUGAUUUGAUCAUAUUUUUCCCUAAAUAGUGAAUUGCUCUAGAGAGUAGUUUUCUAUAUAUAUAUAUAUAUAUAUAUAUAUAUAUAUAUAUAUAAGUGGAAUUAAAAAAAUGAAAGCAAACACAUUUUCUUUGAUAUGAAAUUUCUUUACUUAGCACUUUAGAGAUCAAUAGGAAUGAAUUUUAUAACGAUUGAUACUCAGUCUUCUUCAUCAAAUCACCUCCUAAACAUUGAACUGCUCUAAUAAGCAGGUUUCUAAGUAGGUUAUAUAUAUAUAUAUGUAUAUAUAUAUAUAUAUAUAUAUUGAGAGAUAGAGAGCAAAGCACACUCAUUUGAUGAAAGCAAUCUAUAAAGUGUUUAAGAUAUAACUAUAUUGGAAUUCUUGAAGAUUAUUUUCAUUUCCUUCUAUCUUGAACAACUUAAUUCAAAAUUGACUCUAAUUUAUUUAUAUUACUUUCAUAAUAAUUGUUUAUUUAUAGGUCUCAUUUCUUUGGCUAAAUAUGCUUUAACCCUCAUAGGUUUUAAAUUUCAUCAAAAACCUCACUUAUUUUGAGUGAGAUAGGAGAUUAAUGAAAAGCUAAAAGAGGUAUUUGAUGAAAUUUCAAACCUAUAGAGGUUAGGUGUAUUUAGCCAAAAUCUCGAGAGAGAUUAAUGAAAUUAACUUCUCUUUCAAUUAUACUUUAUUCCCAUUUAUUCAUACAUUUUGUGGCAUUUUGAUUCAUCUAAUUUUUUUUUUCUAUUCUUUGAUACUAUUUGAUCAUACCUUGAAUUUAUUUUUUUGCACCUUCAAUAAUUUUAUUGAAAGUUGACUUCUAUCACUUCAUUAUAGCCUAGUCCUAUCUCUUUUAAAUUUGGUUCAAUUAAUUCACAUGUCUAUCUUAUUUCAUAGUAGUUAGUUCUAUAUAUUUGUAGAUUUAUCUCAUUGUUUAUAUGUUCAUCCUAUUUGUUCAUACAUCAAUCUUAUUUAUUUCUAUUUUGCUCAAUUUUAUUGAAAUUUGGCUCAUUUAAUUGUAUGUAUGUUUCAUUUAUUCCUAUACGACUCAUUUUUAGUCCAAUUUCAUUAUAUCUUGACAUUUCAAGAUUUUCAAGUGUUUUACUGAUUUCUAUGUGAGCAUAAAUAAUUAGCCCUAUUUUAUCUUUUAUUUAAUUCACUUUUAAGGCAUUAACAUUUCUCUUGUUAAAUUUGUAUUCAAAUGCUCAAGCAAUGGGUAAUAGAAUACUCUAUCAAAUUAAUUAUAAGAAAUUUUUUAAAAUAUUUAUAUUUUUUAUUAUUUAUUUAUUCAUACAUAUUAUGUGAAAAAUAUAUAUUAUGAUUAAUACAUUGAAAAAGAUUUUUUUUAAAAUAAAUUAAACAAAAAUCAAUUGAAGACAGAACCGAGCUUACAAGUGUAAAGAAAAAAUUAAUAAUUAGGGCUCUGUUUGGUAAUUGUUUUCGAAAACAAUUAUGAAAAAUAGCUUUUGAUAAUUGUUUUUGAAAAUUAGUUCGUAAGGUUUUAUAAAACAAAAGUCUGUUUAAAAACCUAAAAUGUUUUAAUCAAUUUUUAAUGUUUUUAAAUAUAUUUUAAAAAUAAUUUUUAUAUGUAUUAUUUUAUUAUACAAUUAUUUCUUAAAACAAUUCUUAAAAAACAAGUGAAAAUAGUUGAAAUAAAUUAAAAGAUAUUUUAAAAAAAAUAUUAUAUUUUCUAUUCUUGAUAAAAGAAAAUAUAUAAUUUUUUUUUGUUCAUCAAAAACAUGUUUUACAGAUUUUUUUUUUUUUUUUUAGAGAAGAAAAUAUUGUUCUCGAAACUAUUUCCAAACAUGCCUUAACACUGUGUUUUGUAAUAUAUCCUAACGGGUGACUCUUUCUGUAUCAGAUUUUUCCUUCAAUUAAUUAAAGUAGGGAGAAUUGUGUUUUGGGCCCAGAUGGGCCCAAAAAUUAACAUUUGGUCCAUAGAUGUUACAAAAUUAAGCCCAACAUCCAAACAAAGUCUCAAAAUUGAUAAAGAGGAUAUACAAUGUAUAAUUUGCUGAAAAUGCCAUUUGUUGGGUAUUUUUAAAAAAAAAAAAAAAAAAACUAAAAUCCACAUUAGAUUUCUCCCUUUGUUUUCCCCAAAUUGGAGUCUGCAUUAGGUGUUUUCACAUUCCUGACUUCGUCUCUCGUUUCCUCCCAAAGAAUGCCCUAAUCCUCUAUGCCAAUUUCGUUAUCUCUUGAUCUCGUCUUUCCCGGUCAUCUGAUUUUAGGUGUCGGUAGUGGAGUUUUUCAUCUCUAUUGAUCCAUUGUCGUCGACGAUCACCACUGGAUUUGGCCUCCGUGGCGAAGUAGUUGAUAGUUGAGGUUAGUAGGUUUAGCAAUUUCAUUUUAUGCUUCAUUUUGGCUAUCCAGACUAUUUGAUUUCAGCCCAAAUACAUUGCCCUAAUUUAUCUCGCAAUUUCAGUUUGCCAUAUAUUGUUCUCUCAUCGAUCCCCAUCGAUGGUGCCCUCCGUGUUGAGCAUUGUUGGAUUUUUUAGAUUAGAUGGGACUUUUUGGAGGUUGAUUGCUGUCUGAAUUGAGGAGGGAGCUUCUCUUACCAUCAGGCAAAGCAGUCUUUUUUUUAAAAAACUUAAACCCCGUAACUGAUGUUUUUUUUGUUUAACUUAUAUUUUUUUAUGGGUAUUUUUUUAUUUAGCAUUAUGAUUAUCAACUCUUUAUUUUGUGUGGAUGACUUGAUCUCUUGAUUGCCAUAUUUCAUUGUGGGUUAUGGUGUUUAUAAGACAUGGCUCACAGUUUGAAAUAGUGAGCAUCUUCAUGGGUUAAUUGCAACUACAUGUCGUGGUAUCAACAGUUUUUGUUUAGAUAAUUAUGUUUGUGUUCAAUUUACAUGAUCGAUAGCCUUAACAUGCAAAACCCACUUCUUUUUAUUAACCUGUGAUGUCACCAUGAUUGACUUGUUUCUCCAUCAAUAUGACAACCCGUGAUUAGCAUGAACGAUAAUGGUGAUGAUGAAGAUGACAUAAAAAUAUAUUUUGAUUUUGCCUGGAUUUUACUUGGUUCACUGAUGUUUGUUCGAUUUAGUAUUGCAUAUUCAUUUUAGAAGUUUGUUUUAUACGUAUAUUUUAAUUCUAAUAUAUGAUUAGUCAAUGCAAAUUGAUUUUCCUUUUGCAGACAUAUUUUUCCUCCUUUGGUUCAAAUCAAAUCUGUUAGCAUUAUAUUUACUUCCUCGUGUGGCAGUCUAGUUCAGUACAAUAGUUCGUUUGUUAACUUUCUUUGAUAAAACCUAAGUUCUGGUCACCCUAUAGUAUGAGAUAUUGUGGGCUACUUAGUAUGUGUAGAUAGAUUAUCAUUUCCAACUUCAUGAAAUUUGUAGCUAACAUGAAUAUAAAUGGCAAAUAAAGAAACAAAUUAGUUCAAAGCUAGUUCAAUGACCCUUAAUUAUAUUAAAUCAGACCAGUAACUAGGGAUUCAAUACAUAACAAAUCAAUUAAGGGAUUUCUCAUUGAAAUCCAAAAUGGUUUCCAAUAAUCAUUCUAGUGCCCAAACACCUCCUUCCAUGUUUACUAUUCAUUGAUGCUGAAUAUCAAAUGCAUGCAAGUCAAUAUUAUUUUCAGCAUACAAUUCAACCAGAACAAAAUUCAGAGAAAUUUGAAGCUGACUAUUAAGCAUGAGCCAAAACACUAACCACAUAGCCAUCAUCUGUCCAUUUAUGAGUGUCAAAAGUAAGUGCGAUGUUGCCAUUGGGAUCUAGAAAGUCAUAACACUCUGCAAAAAUAGAGAAAUAGUCAACCAACUUGUUAAAAAAUAGAAUAAGUGAAGUAACAAAAGGAAAAGUCUAUGUAUAAAUGAUGACUAAUAAACUGGACAUGGCAACUAAUAAUAAUGUCAACUUCAAAGCAAAAGCCCACAUGGGAGGAAAGAUCAACCCCAUUUUCUAUAAUAUGCAUAAUUGUUUGUUCUAUAAUAUGAAAUUUGUGCUAUGUUUGUAUAGGUUGAUGGAUGCAACUAAUAAGAUAUAUUGUUACAUUUUCAUAGGAGGCAAAACUUCUCUAAAAAAAUGAUGGGCAAUAGGAAUACGUGGGUAGAAGAAGCAAAGGUAUUCACAUUUAUAAAGGAAUGCCUUUUGAAGAAUUCACCAAAAAAAUCUUAGAGAAAUUUGACAUCUCCUUUGAUGCGAUGAAAAUGCACUACACCCUCAAGUUCAACCCCAGAGUCAUCAAAGAUUUAGAAGAUGAGAAUGACUUGGAUAACGUGGUUUCCCACUGUGAUGACUUUGCAAAUGUAUACCUAGUAGACUUACCUUAUGUGGAAGCCAUUGAAGCAAAUAUACCGAAUACACAGUUGGCAUUUGGGUAAUGGAAUUUAACAUGAAUGUCUAUUUAAAAUAUUGUGAAUAUCAAUUUUACGCAUCAUGUAGUCUAAUUAUGUUAAUGUAUGUAAAUGUAGAGGUCCACCUACCACGUUUCCUUCCUCUAAUGCAUCAUGCGAUGCAAUUCCUAAUACUAUGAUGCUAUCCAGAGGUUUUGCGUUGCAUUGUGUAGUUAGUGAGUACACCCCUUUGGAAUCGAUUUGUUUUCGCCAGGCAAUAUUAGGAUCGGGACAUACAUUUAAAAAUGCUGAGGAGUUUUGGAACGCAAUUUACCAUAUGUCAUUAGGUGGAAGGUUUGAAUACAAGUACAAGAAAAAUUCCCCUACACAUACGUCUGUAAAGUGUUCAGUUGAGGGUUGUCCUUGAAAGAUAACAGCUCAUGCUAUAGAGGAAAAAGUCAUCUUGCGAGUUCAUACUUACCAAGUGAAUCAUAAUCAUAUAGCUCAAGAUGAGUGUUCAUCUAAGGUCAAGGUUUCUUCAAAGAGAGGCACAGUUGUUGUUGAAGAUGUGUUUAGAACCACUCCAAACUAUCUUCCCCAUCAAAUUUGUAAGGAUUUUGAACGUGAUCAUGGAGUUCAAUUGACAUAUAACCAAGCAUGGCACCUUAAAGAGAAGGCAAAAGAGCGCAUAUAUGGAGCUCCACGUGAGUCCCACACGUUUGUCCCUUGGUUAUGCCAUAGGCUAAGGGAAAUCAACCUCGACACUAUUGUAGAGUACACUUCCCAUGAAGGUCACUUCAUGCAAUUGUUCAUUGCCCAUGCAUUUUCAAUUCAAGGGUUCAUCAUGGGGUGUCGACCUGUAUUGGCUAUUGAUUCUUACCACCUAAGCGGUUCAUAUAAGGGAGCUCUUUUGUCCACCAUUGCAUAUGAUGCAGAUGAUGGAAUGUUCCCUCUAGCCCUUGGUGUGGUCAGUUUUGAAAAUUAUGAGGACUAGUAUUGGUUUUUGGAGAAAUUAAAGGGAGUCUUAGAUGGUAAAGAAGUUGUUAUUAUAUCAGAUAGACAUCAGGGAAUCUUGCGUAGUGUUUUCGAGUUGUUCGAGAUAGGAAAUCAUGCAUAUUGUUAUUGACAUGUGAAGGAAAACUUUUCUAACUUCUUUAAUAAGCAAAACAUUAGAGGAAAGAAAGGGAAAGAAGAUGUUUUGUUAUUCUUGGACAACAUUGCAUAUGCUAGGUUGGAUAUAGACUACAACGAGGCAUUCCAAAAACUUGUGCGCUUCAAUGACAACCUAGCAAAAUGGGUUGCGAAAAACAAUCCCAAACAUUGGGCAAUGUCAAAGUUUCUUCGAAAGUGAUGGGAUAAAAUGACAACUAACAUUGCAAAGUCCUUCAAUGUAUGGUUAAGAGAUGAGCAUCACCAAACAAUUUAUACGUUAUUGUUAAUGCACAUGGAUAAGCUUGUAGCCAUGUUGGACACCCAUGUGUGGUACAGAAAAGUGGAAGAGCGUGGUCAGACCAAAAACUGAAGAGCAACUAAUGUCAAAUAUCAUGAGGUCUGGUCUGAUUAGUGUGUUGCCCUAUUUGGGGGAGGCGUUUAAGGUGUUUACUGGGGAGGUUUAUUUGGUUGUCGAUUUGAAUCAACGUACGUGUACUUGCAUGACAUGGCAAAUGUCCGGCUUGCCAUGUUCACAUGUAUGUGCUGUCAUCCGCACACUGAGACACAACGUGUAUGAGUAUAUUGACCCAUGUUUUCAUGUCUCCACGUAACAUUUGAUUUACUCAGGUCAGUUUCAACCAUUACCAACACAUAAUAUGCCCAAAGUUUGUGACGAUGGGAGUUUGCAACAUUGCACAAGCAGCUCUUUCCUGCUCUCCAACCCCCCCCCCCCCCCCCAUGUGAGAUGUCCUCUAGGAAGAACCCAACAAGGACGUAUUGAGUCACAGUUUAGCCAUAAGAGAGCAAUUCAUUGCUCUCGAUGCAAUGACAUAGGUCACAACCGGUCUAAAUGUAAUAAUCCAUUAUCGUGACAUGUACAUUUUUUGUGUUUGUAUGAUUCUCAUAUUUUGUAUCAUCCUAUACAUUCUAUUGUAGGGUAUAUGGUACGGGGUUGUUGAUUUUUGUUCUUAUGUAUUGGCCUCGUUAUAGGCACGAUGCACUAUUUUGUUAUUUUCAUGAUUUAGGGUUGCUUUGAUUAACCAAAUUAAUUGAAAGUGCAAUUUCAAUGUGGUUUCUUUUCACUUGUUAUUUCAUUCCAUCAGUGCAAAUAAAUGAGGAUGACAGUUUAUUAUUAAUUUAUUCACAUAUUGGGGUUCACAAUUCUUGUUUUUUCCAAUCCAGAGAGACUUCCCCUUUCCUUUUUUAAAUUGCCUUAUUGUUAUUUAUUUAAUUUAUUUUAACCUUAUAAAUCUGAAUAUGAUAUACCAUUACCAAAUUUAUCCAACCAAUUAAUGGUACAAAUGGUCAAAUGACCUUUCCAUUUAUUAUUAGCUUCUCCAAGUGACCGAUAACUACUAUAGCACCCAUUUCAAGUUACAGGUUCUUUGAAGGUUCAAGCUUACAACAAUAAUUUCAUUCUUUAAUGGCCACUACGGAGGUAAUGCAUUCUUUCUUGUUUUUUAAUUUUCAUCACUUAUUUCGGGGACUUGAUAUUUUAACCCACUUAAGACAGUUACUUGUUUUGGGUGUUAAAGAUUCAUUAUUACAUAAACAUCCACUAGUAAAUUAUUCAUCCACAUUAAUUUGUUUGUUAGUUCAUUCAAUUGUAUUGCUUUUUUUACCACGUUUAUGUAUUCAUAUUGAUUUUCUUAUUUCUUUAUUGAUUACUAAAAUUCAUGUGUAAGAUGCUAAUGAUCUCCAACAAUUUUUUUGCAGGCCACCAGAUUAUUCACACGUUGUUCAUCUUCAAGAUUCCUAAAACUAUGCAACAGGCUCCCAAUUUGAGAAAUUGGAUGUGGUUCGAGACCUUCAGUUUGGAGGUCUUCUCAACUUAAACUGCAAGGAGAUACGACAUAAUAUAUGUCUAUGACUAAACUACGGUUGGCGACCCAUUCAUCUUUUCUCUCAUUCCCUCAUUCUCUCACUUCCCCAAUCACACCCGUUUUCAUGUUUAUUAUUAUUAUUAUUAUUAUUAUUAUUAUUAUCAUUAUUUCUUGAUUUUUCUUGAUUUGAUUUUAAUAGUAAUUGUUGUUGAAAUUGGGCUUGUGCAUUUAUGUCUGUUUGUGGGCUUUAUGUUUGGGCUUUGUUAAUUAAUAUGAAAUUUGGGUUAAUUUAUUAUUGGUGAAUUAAUUUGAAAUUUGUUAAUUUGGGUUUGUGGGAUUAAUUGAGGAUAUUUGGACUAUAUCAAUUGCAUAUUGUUUAUUUGGACUAUAUCAAUUAUUGCUUAUUUGGACUUGGGCUAUUGUUAAUUGGUUAUUUGUUUAUGUUUAUUGGAUUGGGAUUGAAAUAUUAUUUGGCUUAUUAAUUGGUUAUUUGUUUGAGCUUAUUAGGUUAGGCUUGAGAUAUUAUUUCUUUUGGCCAUGUGUAGAUAUUAUUUCUUUUUGUCAUAUGUAUUAUUAAUGUGGACUUAUUAGAUUGGGUUUGAGAUAUUAUUUCAUUUGGUCAUGUGUAUUAUUAAUGUGAGCUUGUUAAUUGAUGUGAAUUUUGGGCCCACAAGUAGGUGAGAUUUGUUGGAUGAUUUGAAUAUUUGAUAUGGAUUGGGCCAAUUUGAACUAUUUCAUUUGAACAUGGGACAAUUGUGGUAUAUAUUAAAUUAGGCUUGGAUUAUGGAAUAUUAAAUUUCGGCCUAAUGAGCUUUAUCUUAAUUUAUCAUGUUUUGGGUUUGAUUAAUUGAGCUUAUAUUUUGACUAUUGAUUUUGAAACUUUAGAUUAAGGUCUAUGAUAUGUGAGAUGUUUUUUUUGGGUUAUAUUUAUUAAUUUGAGCCCAUUUUUAAUUGGUGAAAUUUAUUGGAAAUUUGAAUUUGGGUUUGAAUAGUUUUUUUGGACUCUACAUGUUUUUGGAUAUUUAUAUUUGUGCUAUUUUUGUUUUUGCAUGGGUUCACUCUACAACCUUGUUGGCUGAGUACGAAUUGACAACACGUGAAGCUUGUUGUAAGUUAAUUUGAGUACAUAUUUUAUUUCCCACUUUUACUUGGUUUUAUUUUUAUUAGUUCUUGUAAAUAUUUGUUUGUAUAUGUUUAUUUGUUGCGUACAGAAUUGAAUAUUGAACAAAUUAGAAAUUUUGUUUAAAUAAGAAGAAUAAUUCAGUAAAUAUGUUUUAAUAAAAUAAUAAUUUAAAAAUAUUCUCCUUAAUAAAAGAAAGUUUUUUUAUAUUUAUUUAUAAAAAUUUAGAAAAAUAAAAAAGAAUUGUUUUUAAUAGAAUUUAAAAAAUUAUUUUUAAUAAAAUUGUCCAAAAGUUUCUUUGUUUAAUAAAAAUUGUCUAAAAAUUGUUUUGUAAAUAAAGUUGCCCCAAAAAUUAAUUUUUAAUAAAAUUGUCCAAUUUUUUUUCUUUUUCCUUAAUUAAAAUGGGGUUAAAAGCAUUUUUUAGAAAUAGAGGAUUUAAUUUUUUUUUUCUUCUUCUUUUUAAUUAAAAUUUCUUUUGCAAAUAAAGUUGUAUUUUUAAAUAAUUUGUAUAAAUCACUCUUUUUUUUAAAUGAAAAUGAAUCAAAAUAAUUUUGUAAAUAAAAUUGUAAAAAUUCAUUCAUUUUUUUUUUUUUGUAAAAUCAAGUAAAAUAAUUUUUGUGCUCAAAUUGAAAUUUUGUAAUAAAUUCUUUUGAUACAAUAAGUGUAAAUAACUUUUUUAAAAAUUGAAUACAAAUGAAAUUGAAUAAAUAAAUUGAAACUUCUUUUUUUUUUUUUGUAAAUAAAUAAAUUGAAAUCAUUAAUUCAAAAUCAUUUUUUAUAAAAUUCUUUGAAAUUUCUUGAAAACCAUUUUUUUUAGUUCAAUAAAUCAUUUUUGCACAAUUCUUUUGUUAUUAAUUUCAUGUAUUCUUAUAAUUAGAUUUCAUCAUUAUUUUUGUGUAUAUUGAUUUUCAUCAUGACUUGUACAUUGAUUAUUUUUCUUGAUAUCCAUAAUUAAUUAAUUAAUUGUCACAAUUCCCUUGAUUCAUUUAGUAGAGGCCGUAUGUAUACGGGGUUAGAGGGGUAUUACGGCUUAUCACGGACCUUCCCAAUAAGUAAUCUGACCCCUGAACCCGACUUUGGUUUUCCAUAGACCUGUUUUUCUUUUAGGAGUCACACUUAAGGUUUUUCUUUCUUAUUUUGUUUUUCCCUUUAAAAAAAAUUAAAAUAAGUGGCAACUACAAGUCUUUUCUAAAAAUCAAUUUUUCACUAAACAAAUAAAAAAACGAAUCACGCCGUUGAGUGGGAAUGCACGUGAAAAUGUAGGAUCCACAUCUGUCCAAUUUAAUCUUUAAAUGAUUGAGAAACUAUUUGAAAUAUCAAUAUCCAUAUGUAUUUAUUUUUCAUUAACAAAGGUAAUCAUUUUCAUAUUAAAAGAAAAAAAGAAAUCAUCUGCUAUCAACUCUUUCCAUAAUCAAAGCUAAAAAAUCUUUAAUUCUAUAGCGUCAUCUCCAUUCCAAUCAUCUUCCUUGUCUUUAUUUUCUUUCUUACAAGACUCAAAACAACUACCUCCUCGUUCAAAAGGCUAUAAUUAGAAUCUUUUGAAUCUAUAUAUUAAUCUCUUCCAUGCUUGGAUGCCUUGUUCCGCAUUGAUGAGAUAUUACUCUUUCCUAUAGUUAAUUUCUUAAAUUCAUACCAACACAUCAAAUAGUUUGAUACCAUUAAUUUGUUAUUAAGGCAUCGUGCUUGUAAAAAAUAAGAUACAUAUUGUCUAAUAAUUAAUUAAAUUUCUAUCAAUUUGUAUCUCAAAUGGAGGGUUCUCCCUACUAGUGAUUCAAUUGAACAAAUUCUUAUAAAACUUCUUAUGUUUAUUUAUUCCAGUCAAACAAAUUCAAUAGGUUUUGUAGAUUUUUAAGCAUAUGGUUGAUUUUAUCAUUAGUCCAGCUCCCCAUAGGAAAAUAUCCAAUUGUGUAUUCAUUGAUCAAUAAGAUUGACAUACAACUAAAUCCAUGCCCUUGUAAACGUCUUCCCUAAAUAAGAAAGAGAGAACACAUUUCCUAGUUUGAAAAGUCAAAUUGCUUAACAAAUUAUUGGAGCCUACAAUGCAUCUUUCCCUUUCAUCACUUUGCUGUCCAUGUCUUCAAUAAAAUGGCCUAAAGAAAAGUGUGAGGAUCCGCCAUCUAUCAUGACUUUAUGACUUAUUUUUUCCAUUUCUUUCCUCUUCUUCCUCACUUCACUAUUAAUAUUCAUUAGGUUCCUUAAUCCAUUUUCAAUCUCAUGAGCACUUACAAUAUGAUCACGAUCCUUAUUGUAAUCUAUUUUAAUUUCUACUGCCAACCCCAAAUCUUUCACCAUUUGAAAUGCGUUGAUUUGUUGUUCUGCAUAUAUUGGCCAUGUGGCUACUGGAACACCAUACCAUACGCUUUCUAGCAAAGAAUUCCACCCACAAUGAGAUACAAAUCCUCCAACAGCUGAGUGGGCUAAAACCGCUAUUUGUGGAGCCCAUCCAAUCACCUUUCCAAUUCUAGCCGUCCGAUGUAAAAAUCCUUCUGGUAGAACUUGCUCAAUAUUUUCAUGGUCGCUUGGAAUCAUUUUACCCUUUGGGGGAGGUUGGCGAAGGGACCACAAGAAGCGAUGCCCA